rnacentral:lncRNA from 1 species
AGAAAGAAAUAACUGAGCCUCCAGCUGACUCCAGCCCCAGCCAACAUCCUCAAGCAAGAACUACCUAUUUCAAUAGGCAGAGUCCACUCUUACAACUGUGAAAAGUGAGCAGAAACUCCAGCAAUGGUGCAAUGGGUUGGACAUACCAACACAAUUGAUUUAUGCCAUCACGGAUGAAGCAUGAAAAAUGGAGUAUUUCACCUAUGAAACCUUGACUAUAAUGAGACUAUGCCCACCCUGUAUUUUUCACUUCGUUUUCAGACCAAGAUUGAUUUCAACCAGCUAUUUUUCAAAUUUUACCUUAAAACAGGCCUUUUUGGGAACACUGACAAUUGCAUUCCCUGUGGAAGUGAGAAGAACUAAAGGAGUUUUUGCAAAGAUUACUGAGGUUAUUCUUAUUCAAUCACCCAACAUCUCUAUGGGUAUGAUUUCUCUUAUUAUUCCAAUUUUGCAGAUGGUUAAGGUUUUUGUGGCCUGUAUGUUUAAAUAAAGUUCUUUUCAGAGCUUUUAGGAGUGUUUGAGGGAUAAUUAUACAAUGGAGACCUUAGAGUUUGGUUUCCUGGGGUCUUACCCUUCCUCUACAUUUCUCAUUUCUUUUUGAAGAAUUGAGUAGAUCCUGUUACAAAGGCAUGAGAAAAUAGAAUGUUUUUACCACAAUACAACCUUCUUGAGG